GCCCGUUUGGUCAUCAGCUCCAGGUUCUGCUCCACCUGCUGAACCACCAACUCCAAGUCGUGGUAGUCGCUUUCCUCGUUGAUCAUUUUUGCUUCUAAUUUCCGCACAAGCGUCCUCACCAUUUCUGUUUGAGCUUCAGAGAAGCUCUGAAUCUCAUUCAGCUUUCUUCUCAGCUUAGAAUUUUCACCUUUCAGUGCUUCGUAACUUAUCUGCAGCGUCCGCAGGUGCCUGUCUCCCAGAGACUCUCCCUGAGCCGCAAAAUCGGUGCUAGGACUCCCUGCCGGAGAGGCCGGAGACACGCGAGAAUCAGUGUCACUCAACGCCCACGGGAGCAGAGACUCGGGCCCUGCCAGCUCUGACGGGGUGGAGAAAAAGGAAAGGCCGAUGUUCUUGGUCUUCAGAAACUCUUUAAAGGAGAAUGGAUUUGCCUCUUCAAGAUCUUCAAAUUUGUCAUCUCCAAAAUGUGUCUCGUGGGCUCCUGACGGGCUCUGCUUAGAACAUUUCCCCUUUCCAUAGCCCAAAUCGUCGGGAAUGGCGAGGCUCCGGGCUCGGGACAGCGGGGUGACGCCCCGGCGGCGCGGGUAGCUCGACAUCGCCGUGGGCCAGGCGGGGCAGGCGGGGCAGGACCUGCCUAGCCCGGCAGCGGCGGCUCAAUGGCCCCUGCUCUGCCCGUGCCGCGGCCCGUGUCAACCGCCCCCGUCGCCCGCCGCUCGGCCGCCCCCGAUCCUCCGAACCUCUCAAACAAAAGAGGAGACAUUACAACUGAUAGCACAGAAAUACAAAGGGUCCUUCGGGAAGCCGAGGCAGGCGGAUGACCUGAGAUCAGGAGUUUGAGACCAGCCUGGCCAUCAUGGUGAAACCCCGUCUCUUCUGGAAACUACAAAAAUUAGCCAGGUGUGGUGGCAGGCACCUGUAAUCCCAGCUACUCAGGAGGCUGAGGCAGGAGAAUCGCUUGAACCCAGGAGGCGGAGGCGGAAGUUGAAGUGAGCCAAGAUCGUGUCAUUGCAGUCCAGCCUGGGUGACAGAGCAAAACUCUGUCUCCAAAAAAAAAAAAAAAAAAAAAAAAAAGAAAUACAAAGGGUCACAAGAAACUACCAUGAGCAAUUAUACCCCAAUAAAUUGGAUAACUUAAAAGAAAUGGGUAAAUUCCUAGACACAUAUAACCUGCCAAGACUGAAUCAUGAAGAAAUAGAAAAUCUGAAUAGACCAAUAAUAGAUAAGUAGAUUCAAUCAGUAAGAAAAAGUCUCCCAUUAGGCUGAGGCAGGAGAAUGGCGUCAACAUGGGAGGCAGAGGUUGCAGUGAGCCGAGAUCACACCACUGCACUCCAGCCUGGGCGACAGAGCGAGUCUCCGUCUCAAAAAAAAAAAAAAAAAAAAAAAAAAGUCUCCCAUUAAAGAAAAGCUCAGGACUGAUUGGCUUCACAGAUGAAUUCUACCAAACAUUUAAAAAAGUACUAAUGCUAAUCCUUUUCAAACUCUUCAAAAAAAAUUGAAGAGAAAGGAAUAUUUUCAAAUUCAUUUUAUGAGGCCAGCAUUACCCUGAUACUAAAACUGGACACAGACACUACAAGAAAAGAAAGUUACAGGCCAAAGUCCCCGAUGAACAUAGAUGCAAAAAUACUCAACAAAAUACUGGCAAUGCGAAUUCAAUAGCACAUUAAAAAGAUCAUUCACUAUGGUCAAAUGGGAUUUAUCCCUGGGAUUCAAAACUAUUGCAACAUAUGCAGAUCAAUAAAUGUGAUACUCUAUAUGUGGUUUUGAUUUCACCCCCCCCCUUCUCAAUUAUUUUCUCUGUCCUAUACCAUAAGUGUUUUUUUCUAUAUAGUCUUACUAUCAGCCUUGAAUCAUGCUUCAGAAAAAUUAUCAAUCUUUUUGCUUUUAAAGCUUAUCGAUUUGUUCUAAUUCAAGAAACUUAAAAAACAAUGGAAUUUGGGUGAUUCUGAGUGAAUUGAUUGGGGUGGGGCACAGGCAUCAGUAUCUUUUAAACAGUCCUCACAUUUGCCUUCCCACUGGGUACCCCCUUACCUGAUGAAAUCCUGUUUACCCUCCAGGGCUCACCUGCAUAUCAUUUCCUCAAGGA
rnacentral:lncRNA from 10 species